UACGGAGGGGGGCGAGCGUUAUUCGGAAUCAUUGGGCGUAAAGGGCGCGUAGGCGGCCCCGUAAGUCUUGGGUGAAAGCCCUCGGCUCAACCGAGGAAUUGCCUUGGAUACUGCGGGGCUCGAGGCUGGAAGAGGGCAGUGGAAUUCCCGGUGUAGCGGUGAAAUGCGUAGAGAUCGGGAGGAACACCAGUGGCGAAGGCGGCUCGCUGGGCCGGACCUGACGCUGAGACGCGAAGGCGUGGGGAGCAAACAGGG
rnacentral:rRNA from 1 species